rnacentral:rRNA from 1 species
UGGGGGAUAUUGCACAAUGGGCGAAAGCCUGAUGCAGCGACGCCGCGUGGGGGAUGAAGGCCUUCGGGUUGUAAACUUCUUUUGCUCUGAACAAGGCAUGCUAAUGUGUGUGUUGUGUGUAUGGGUUGUUUAUCGCCGGCUAACUACGUGCCAGCAGCCGCGGUAAGCCGUAGUGCGCGAGCGUUUUCCGGAAUUUUUGGGCGUAAAGGGCUUGUAGGUGGCUGGUUGCGUCUGUCGUGAAAGCUCAUGGCUUAACUGUGGGUUUGCGGUGGGUACGGGCUGGCUUGAGUGCAGUAGGAGAGGCUGGAAUUCCUGGUGGAGAGGUGGAAUGCGCAGAUAUCAGGAGGAAUACCGGUGGCGAAAGCGGGUCUCUGGGCUGUUACUGACACUGAGGAGCGAAAGAGUGGGGAGCGAACAGG